rnacentral:rRNA from 1 species
GACGAACGCUGGCGGCGUGCUUAACACAUGCAAGUCGAACGGUGAAAGCGGAGCUUGCUCCGCUGGAUCAGUGGCGAACGGGUGAGUAACACGUGGGCAACCUGCCCCUCACUUCGGGAUAACUCCGGGAAACCGGGGCUAAUACCGGAUAUGACCUCCUUGGGCAUCCUUGGAGGUGGAAAGUUUUUCGGUGAGGGAUGGGCCCGCGGCCUAUCAGCUUGUUGGUGAGGUAACGGCUCACCAAGGCGACGACGGGUAGCCGGCCUGAGAGGGUGACCGGCCACACGGGGACGGAGACACGGCCCAGACUCCUACGGGAGGCAGCAGUGGGGAAUAUUGCACAAUGGGCGCAAGCCUGAUGCAGCAACGCCGCGUGAGGGAUGACGGCCUUCGGGUUGUAAACCUCUUUUAGUAGGGAAGAAGCGAAAGUGACGGUACCUGCAGAAAAAGCACCGGCUAACUACGUGCCAGCAGCCGCCGUAA